UAUCGGAUUUACUGGGCGUAAAGCGUGCGUAGGCGGCUUUUUAAGUCGGAUGUGAAAUCCCUGAGCUUAACUUAGGAAUUGCAUUCGAUACUGGGGAGCUAGAGUAUGGGAGAGGAUGGUAGAAUUCCAGGUGUAGCGGUGAAAUGCGUAGAGAUCUGGAGGAAUACCGAUGGCGAAGGCAGCCAUCUGGCCUAAUACUGACGCUGAGGUACGAAAGCAUGGGGAGCAAACAGGAUUAGAUACCCUGGUAGUCCAUGCCGUAAACGAUGUUUACUAGCCGUUGGGGCCUUUGAGGCUUUAGUGGCGCAGCUAACGCGAUAAGUAGACCGCCUGGGGAGUACGGUCGCAAGACUAAAACUCAAAUGAAUUGACGGGGGCCCGCACAAGCGGUGGAGCAUGUGGUUUAAUUCGAUGCAACGCGAAGAACCUUACCUGGCCUUGACAUACUAAGAACUUUCCAGAGAUGGAUUGGUGCCUUCGGGAACUUAGAUACAGGUGCUGCAUGGCUGUCGUCAGCUCGUGUCGUGAGAUGUUGGGUUAAGUCCCGCAACGAGCGCAACCCUUUUCCUUAUUUGCCAGCGGGUAAUGCCGGGAACUUUAAGGAUACUGCCAGUGACAAACUGGAGGAAGGCGGGGACGACGUCAAGUCAUCAUGGCCCUUACGGCCAGGGCUACACACGUGCUACAAUGGUCGGUACAAAGGGUUGCUACCUCGCGAGAGGAUGCUAAUCUCAAAAAGCCGAUCGUAGUCCGGAUCGCAGUCUGCAACUCGACUGCGUGAAGUCGGAAUCGCUAGUAAUCGCGGAUCA
rnacentral:rRNA from 1 species